rnacentral:sRNA from 1 species
GUGGGCGGCCGCUGCGUCUCCUGCCGCCGCCCUCCCUCCGCCACGAUGCCGGGGAUCGACAAGCUGCCCAUCGAGGAGACGCUGGAGGACAGCCCGCAGACAAGGUCUUUACUAGGUGUAUUUGAAGAAGAUGCCACAGCUAUUUCCAACUAUAUGAACCAGUUGUAUCAAGCUAUGCAUCGGAUUUAUGAUGCACAGAAUGAAUUAAGUGCAGCAACACACCUGACCUCAAAACUUUUAAAAGAAUAUGAAAAACAGCGUUUUCCAUUGGGAGGUGAUGAUGAAGUUAUGAGCUCUACAUUGCAACAGUUUUCAAAAGUUAUAGAUGAGGUAAACGUUUAUUUGAUUUUGCUUGAUUAAAUCGUCUUAUGAUUAAGUUACCCAGUUGCUUAGCUUUUAUUUUAUGAAUAAAGCUCUAU